rnacentral:rRNA from 1 species
GAUGAACGCUGGCGGCGUGCCUAAUACAUGCCAGUCGAGCGAGCGGACGAGAAGCUUGCUUCUCUGAUGUUAGCGGCGGACGGGUGAGUAACACGUGGAUAACCUACCUAUAAGACUGGGAUAACUUCGGGAAACCGUAGCUAAUACCGGAUAAUAUUUUGAACCGCAUGGUUCAAAAGUGAAAGACGGUCUUGCUGUCACUUAUAGAUGGAUCCGCGCUGCAUUAGCUAGUUGGUAAGGUAACGGCUUACCAAGGCAACGAUGCAUAGCCGACCUGAGAGGGUGAUCGGCCACACUGGAACUGAGACACGGUCCAGACUCCUACGGGAGGCAGCAGUAGGGAAUCUUCCGCAAUGGGCGAAAGCCUGACGGGGCAACGCCGCGUGAGUGAUGAAGGUCUUCGGAUCGUAAAACUCUGUUAUUAGGGAAGAACAUAUGUGUAAGUAACUGUGCACAUCUUGACGGUACCUAAUCAGAAAGCCACGGCUAACUACGUG